rnacentral:rRNA from 1 species
UACGUAGGUGGCAAGCGUUGUCCGGAUUUACUGGGCGUAAAGAGCGCGCAGGCGGUCGUUCAAGUCGGGUGUGAAAGCCCCCGGCUCAACUGGGGAGGGUCACUCGAUACUGAUCGACUUGAAGGCAGGAGAGGGAAGCGGAAUUCCCGGUGUAGUGGUGAAAUGCGUAGAUAUCGGGAGGAACACCAGUGGCGAAGGCGGCUUCCUGGCCUGUUCUUGACGCUGAGGCGCGAAAGCUAGGGGAGCAAACGGG